UGGGGAAUCUUGCGCAAUGGGCGAAAGCCUGACGCAGCGACGCCGCGUGAGUGAUGAAGGCCUUCGGGUUGUAAAGCUCUGUGGAGGGGGAAGAAUAAGGCAUGGCUAACAUCCAUGUCGAUGACGGUACCCCUUUAGCAAGCACCGGCUAACUCUGUGCCAGCAGCCGCGGUAAGACAGAGGGUGCAAACGUUGUUCGGAAUUACUGGGCGUAAAGCGCGUGUAGGCGGCUUGGCAAGUCGGGUGUGAAAGCCCUGGGCUCAACCUAGGAAGUGCACUCGAAACUGCUUCGCUUGAAUGUCGGAGAGGAAAGCGGAAUUCUCGGUGUAGAGGUGAAAUUCGUAGAUAUCGAGAGGAACACCGGUGGCGAAGGCGGCUUUCUGGACGAUUAUUGACGCUGAGACGCGAAAGCGUGGGGAGCAAA
rnacentral:rRNA from 1 species